AGAGUUUGAUCCUGGCUCAGAAUGAACGUUGGCGGCGUGGAUUAGGCAUGCAAGUCGAACGAGAACCCCGCAAGGGGGGAAAGUGGCAAACGGGGUAGUAAGGCGUAGGCGAUAUGCCCUCGGGUCCAGGAUAGCUAUGGGAAACCGUAGGUAAUACUGGAUGAUCCUGACGGAGUUGAAUAUCUGUCAGGCAAAGGUGAGAUUCCGCCGGAGGAGCAGCUUGCGUGGUAUUAGCUAGUUGGUGAGGUAAUGGCUCACCAAGGCGAUGAUGCCUAGGGGGUGUGAGAGCAUGACCCCCACCACUGGGACUGAGAUACUGCCCAGACACCUACGGGUGGCUGCAGUCGAGGAUCUUCGGCAAUGGGCGCAAGCCUGACGCAGCGACGCCGCGUGCGGGAGGACGGCCUUCGGGUCGUAAACCGCUGUUGCCCGGGACGAAUGCGUCUUUCGAGACGAGUGACGGUACCGGGUGAGGAAGCACCGGCUAACUCCGUGCCAGCAGCCGCGGUAAUAC
rnacentral:rRNA from 1 species